GAUGAACGCUGGCGGCGUGCCUAAUACAUGCAAGUCGAGCGAACAGACGAGGAGCUUGCUCCUCUGACGUUAGCGGCGGACGGGUGAGUAACACGUGGAUAACCUACCUAUAAGACUGGGAUAACUUCGGGAAACCGGAGCUAAUACCGGAUAAUAUAUUAAACCGCAUGGUUCAAUAGUGAAAGACAGUUUUGCUGUCACUUAUAGAUGGAUCCGCGCCGCAUUAGCUAGUUGGUAAGGUAACGGCUUACCAAGGCAACGAUGCGCAGCCGACCUGAGAGGGUGAUCGGCCACACUGGAACUGAGACACGGUCCAGACUCCUACGGGAGGCAGCAGUAGGGAAUCUUCCGCAAUGGGCGAAAGCCUGACGGAGCAACGCCGCGUGAGUGAUGAAGGUCUUCGGAUCGUAAAACUCUGUUAUUAGGGAAGAACAAAUGUGUAAGUAACUAUGCACGUCUUGACGGUACCUAAUCAGAAAGCCACGGCUAACUACGUG
rnacentral:rRNA from 1 species